rnacentral:rRNA from 1 species
UGGGGAAUCUUGCACAAUGGGGGCAACCCUGAUGCAGCGACGCCGCGUGAGCGAUGAAGCCCUUCGGGGCGUAAAGCUCUUUCGACCGGAACGAUAAUGACGGUACCGGGAGAAGAAGCUGCGGCUAACUACGUGCCAGCAGCCGCGGUAAUACGUAGGCAGCAAGCGUUGUUCGGAGUUACUGGGUGUAAAGAGUGCGUAGGCGGUUUUCUAAGUUCGGUGUGAAAUCUCCCGGCUUAACUGGGAGGGUGCGCCGAAGACUGGGAAGCUGGAGUGUGGGAAAGGCAGGCGGAAUUCCUGGUGUAGCGGUGAAAUGCGUAGAUAUCAGGAGGAACGCCGGCGGUGUAGACGGCUUGCUAGACCAUAACUGACGCUGAGGCACGAAAGCGUGGGUAGCAAACA